AAAUAGACAUACAUUUAACAAAGAAGGAGAAAUUUCGACAGCAACUCCUCUAAAACAUAAGCAUUGCGGAAGCGUCAAAUAUAAGUAUAGCAUUGCAAGUAGCCAUCUACAAAAAAAAAGGAGAAAGGAACAUUCAGGGAUGAAAUAAACUAAUUUCAACUCUCAGAUUCAUCUAGUGCAACUUAACAAGGGUACAAUUCCUUUAUUAUAAAAAUCAUGACAACUUUAAAAAUUAGGGUGGCAGUGUGGAAUGCAGCUGUGCUUCUACUCCCGUUUUCCCCAAGCGAGCAUGUCACUUUAAGCACCUGAAAACACUGUAGGGGUGUGAGAAUAAAUCUCAGCAAGAGAAUUAUUUUAUCAAGUUAUUUAACCUACCAAAUCAUUAAAUUAUAUUUAUAAGAAAACAAAGGAACAUAACAUUAAAUAUAAAGGCAAACAUCUAGUGUUCAUAGGUUCAAGAGUAAGGAGGAUAAACCAGAUCUGCAAAGACCUCAGGAGAAAGAAGCCCUCUCAUGAACUCAAUAGAGUAUAUAACUUCCAUACCCCAAAAUGCUAAAGUGCAAUGCAAUGCAAAUGCAAUAAUAUUCCUGCCUUCACACCCAACAAGGUGUGAAGCUGCAUCGUGUUACGACAAUACACGAUGCUGUACCGGUACGGUCGCGACCAUAGGUUCACGACAUAACUUCGAAUGAAAUGCAAUGCAAUACAAUAAUAGAGGAAAGAUAACACAGCCAUAAAUCCUUCCAAUGAUAUCACAUAUAAUAAUUACUCUCACUAAAAGCAUACCACAUUAACCAUAGUUAGCCGAUGUCACGCCCGGAAAUUCACUAGUAAUUUCCGAACUUAUUUGUGCAUAAAAUCCUCGUCCAGGAAUCAGCCGAGGUACACAAACUGACAAUUUAAUAUACAGAUUCAUCAAAUUAACUAAAACGAUAAAUACUUACUUAUGAGGCACUUAGUCCUCAUCAUGAAGAAAACUGCAGCGGAAAAUAAAAUCUAGCGAAGCUCCGGCUCCACUCCCACAGGCAGCUCAACUUGGGUAUAAGCCAAACGUCUUCUCCUUCUGGAUCCUUUUUCUUCAACUGAGGUUGAUUGAUUAUUGCAAGGUGAGCAUAUGACAUACUCAGCAAGCCACACAGUAAAUAUGCAAGUGCACAAGGAUACCAAAGGAUGGCAUAAUAUUGGCUCAUUUGCAAAAGCAGCAUUUAGCAAAACAUUUAAGAGAAGUAAAACAGUGGAGUAAUUAAUCAGAAAUUUUAAUCAACACUGAACAGCAUACCCAUGCUGUACAGGCCCAACCAUCCUGAACAACCAUACCCGGCUGUACAGAUCUAACUCCAAACCAGGAGCUAAGCAAAUUAUUACCAGUUAUAACAUCAAUACUUAUUGUGAGAGGUGUGGGACUAAUCACGAAAAACAUUGCUCAACUCGCCCAUAACCGCGGGCACGGCUAUUCGAAUAGUUUUACUCUGGCCAGAGGUGUACCACUGUACCCACAAGACACAGCCUCAACAUCAUGUCUACCAUGCGUCGCGAUACUGGAAAGUACCCGAAUAGAGGCUGUGACAAUACCCUCUGCAUAACACAACUCACCACAGUGCACCAUUCCUGGAUCAUAAUCACCCCCUCAAAAACCAGAGGCAUGGACUCCCCAGCGACCCCCGUGGGCUUAUCUCCGCCACUUCUCAGUCUGGUGCUCCGCAAUGAAUCAUGCUAUACAAAAGGUAAAGCCGUUGCCCACGCUGGCUUGUGGUUGGCACGGUUAAUGUUUCACAAUAGUAGCUCGCGAACCGGUCCUUAAUUGUCAUGAGCACGACUCUCAAAACCAUGUGCUCACAACCCACCAUUAUCAAGUUUUAGUUGGCAAGUAAUUAAUUAACCAAUCACGAUUGACCAUCGUGAGCUACCAUUAAAUAUAACCAUAAGUGAUAGUGAAACAUUAGUUAUCCCAAUUGUGUGCUAAUGUUUCUAAGCAUGGCUAAGCAAUCAUAUCUAAUAUCUAGCUGAACCAAUAUAUAUAGCUCAACUAGUCAAGUUAUAAUAACCCAAGGUAUCAAGGAAUAAAGUAAUCAAUGCAAACAGGCCAUAACAAAGGAAUAGGUUCACACCACCCAGUGACAUUCGAAAAUAAAUGCACAGUUGAAAUAAAUAGAGAAUUUAAAUAUAGGAUCAACAUGCUCAAAGGAUUGUGUUUAGGAUCUGUGUGACUUGCCUUGCAAUAAUCGGUCUUCAAUUAAUCUUCUUGAACACUUCCGGCGCACUCGCGAACCUUCGCAACGACGGAAACGACAAGCUAUCACGCAAAACGGGGAAAAAGACUAAUAAAAACCAAAUAAACAGUACAUAUAAAGUAAACAAACAUGUAGAUCAUAUUUUUAGAUGAAUUAUGAGACUUGAACGGCCUCAUUCUGACUUCAAAUGAAUUUAUUAUGAAUUUUACAAGAUUAAAUCUAUUUAAAGCCCAUUUAAAAAGAAUUAAAUAAAUUUAAUUCAAUUUAUGGACAAUUUUAAUAUGUAGAUCUUUAUUUUAUACAACUUUUGCAACUUGAACCACAUUAAACUGAGUUCAAAUGAAUUAGUUAUGAAUUUUUAAAGAUUAAAUCGGAUUAAAACCUUUAUAUGGAUUUUAAUUGAAUUAUGACGCAAUAAUGAAUUAAUUUUGAAAAGGAAAAGAAGGAUUAUUGCGUCAGCGGCUAGGGUUUGCGGUGGACCGGGUGCACGGCAGCGGUUCACGGGAACGAACGGCCGAGAUCAACCCUAUCCAAAACGGACGGCCGAGAUCGAUCGGUCCACGACCGGCUCACGGGAGAGGGCGACGAUGACGUCAGCGAUGACGUCAGCACCGGCGGCGGCUCGGGCGGCGCAAGCUCACCGGCGAACGACGGCGCGGCGGCGCAAACGGAGAGCACCAGGACGUAGAGCGCGGCGCGACGAACUCACCGAUGACCAAAGCAACGGCGGAGGAGCAACGGACGGCGCCGGCGACGAGGAAGAAGCGGCGGCAACCUUCGGGUCGACGGCGGCGACGGUGCUCCGGCGGUCUUCGGCGGCGGCGAAGGGGCGGACGAGGACGGCGACGCGACGGCGACCACGACGGCGACCUUCCCGAGCGACGGCGACGGCUGGAACGGCGGCGGCGCACGGCUGGAGCGGCGGCGGCGACGGCGGCGCAAAAGCUCACGGGGCUAGGGCGCUACACACGACGGCGGGCGAAGGCGAGGGAGGCGAUGGGUAGAGGAGAGCUCGGGGAUCCUUUUAAAGGGGCUAGCGAGCGGCGACGGAGGCCCACGGCUGCCGGCGACGAGAAGGAAAGGUUGGGGAAAAACGAAUCCGAAUCAAACUCGAAUCCGCCUAUUUCCAAAGGAAAUUGACCGGAGUUUCUAUAAGAGAAAAGGAAGAGGAGAUCGAGGAGAUUAUUUCCCCUCAAAAGAUUCGGCCGGAGAAGGAAAGGAUCGGCCGAAUUUGGAAGAAGACGGCGGCGGCUUGCGCUAGGGUUUCGGGCGGCGGCGGCUUGACGAAGACGAUGGAUCCGACAAGCGGGCCCCACCUGUCAGCGACCGAACGCGCGCGCGCGGCUGCGGACUGGGCCGGACUGGGCCGAGGGAAAGAGAGAGAGGGUUUUGGGCCGGCUUUCGGCCCAAAGCCAAAAGAAGACUUUUUAAAACCUUUUUCAAUUUAAAUUAUUUUUUAAAUGCAAUUUCAUUUAUUAAAAAUACUUCCUUAGCUCAAAUAAAUCCCAGAAAAAUCUAGGAAUUAUAGAAUUAAGCAAAGUAUUUAAUGAAAUUUUAUCUGGCCCAAUUUUAUAUUGAGAUUUAACAAAUUAAAAUUAGAUCUUCUCUUCUAGGCUUUUAAAAUUAUUUCUAAUAAUUCCUUUUAAACAACAAUUUAUAAUUUAAGGAUUUUUAAACAAGAAAAGCUCUUAACAAAAAUAAUUAGAUCAUUAAUGAUCAAAUAAUUACUGAACUGUUCUUUGUAUCAUUUAGGAAUUGAGCUCCGAAAGAUCCGAGAAUAUUUCAGAGAGUUGACUUAAUCAUGGAGAAUUUAAUAAAAAUUAAAUCCAUCCAUGCUUUAUAUUUAGGAAAUUUUAUUUCCCACAUUUAACUUCACUUGUAAAUUAAAGAACAUUUAAUAUAAAUUCUAUUAAUGAUUUAUUAAAUAAUUUAUAAAUCCUGAAACGAAAAUCAGGAUGUGACAGCCGAGCGGAGAGAGCUCAGAGCAAGAUACAUAAAAUAAUCAUUUGCACAUAUGGAAUUAUAGUGAUUGUAGGUAUUAAAGUGUUAAGGUGGAGGUUGGAAAAAAUAACAUGAUAAAACCGUAGCAAACCACAGCUACAUUCACUUGCCUCUAAUGAAGGGUUGGUAUCAUACACGAUCUGAAGGACCACCACCUAAUCACAAACAAAGCCUCAGAAAACACACUCAAAUAUGCAUAUAGAACAGUAAAUAACAUGCAUCUACGGCCUCAACACCUCAAAACGCAAAAACAAGGAACGCCGCUUGGACUAUAAACAGUACUGUUGCUUCAAACCUUUAUAUCUCGAAAAAUAAAAAUGAUAUGACUGCAAAUAAAUACAUUUUGGGAAUCUACAGAAUGAGACCUACAACUUUCGUGUAGAACCCAUAUUUUUAUUCUGCCAUUUAGAUGCCCUAAACUGCAAAUCAAGACAAGAUUCAGAAUCUGCCCAAGAAUUCAGACUGCCACACUUAAAACAGCCAUAUCUGGAGUUCUACUCGCCCAAUCAAAGUGUACUUUACCAAUAUGGAAAGCUAAGGAAAAACUCUACAAUUUCCUAGUUAUAAACUUUCGCAGCAAAAAUCAUUUUGAUCCUCUAAUUGGCGAAAUACAGAGACACAGCAAAGCUGACAGCGCCCAGAAACACUAAUCCAAAACACAACACCUAAUCCCAUCCUCUAACCCUCCAAUAACGACGAAUUACAACCCUAAAACAACCUAUAACCUCUGCACAGGAGAGUUAAGCCUCUUUGGAGAACUUGAGAGAAUAUGAUGGGAAAACCAACCCACCACUCUUCCUGCUCGUCUCCUCUUCCUCGAUCUGUUUUUCCAAUCAGAUUCUUGAUUAGGGCUAUGGUUCUUGGAGAUCCAUGGAGUAGGGUUAAUAGGGGAGACGUGAGUUCCAUAGGUGCCGAGGGGGAGGUGUGGCGGCGUCGGCUGGGAAGGUGGGAGUCGCCUCUCCCUAGGGUAUUAGGUGGGGGAGGUGGGCUGGACUACUGCG
rnacentral:lncRNA from 1 species